UGGGGAAUAUUGCACAAUGGGCGCAAGCCUGAUCCAGCCAUGCCGCGUGUAUGAAGAAGGCCUUCGGGUUGUAAAGUACUUUCAGCGGGGAGGAAGGGAGUAAAGUUAAUACCUUUGCUCAUUGACGUUACCCGCAGAAGAAGCACCGGCUAACUCCGUGCCAGCAGCCGCGGUAAUACGGAGGGUGCAAGCGUUAAUCGGAAUUACUGGGCGUAAAGCGCACGCAGGCGGUUUGUUAAGUCAGAUGUGAAAUCCUCGGGCUCAACCUGGGAACUGCAUCUGAUACUGGCAAGCUUGAGUAUCGUAGAGGGGGGUAGAAUUCCAGGUGUAGCGGUGAAAUGCGUAGAGAUCUGGAGGAAUACCGGUGGCGAAGGCGGCCCCCUGGACGAAGACUGACGCUGAGGUGCGAAAGCGUGGGGAGCAAACAGG
rnacentral:rRNA from 1 species